ACCAGGAUGGUUUCAGGCCCCUUGCUGGGUGGGAGCUCAUCCACCUACCCCUCUGGAUGGGCAGUGGUUGUAGGUUUUGAGGCCACAGUGCAUUUGGUAUUAUGUACUAGGAGCAUAAGGACUACUAGCUGCAUGGAGCUGAGGUCAACAGUGGGCUCCCAGCCAUGUCCACCUUCUCAGUGGCCCCAUAGCCGUGUAUGGUGGCAUCUCCAGCAAUACACCGCCCCUCCCAUCAGUGAGCAGACAGCCUCAUGGGCUCCUGAGGGACCACGGCCACCAGCAGGCUCGUAACAGUUUUGCCGUAUCAGGGAGAAAUUUUACCAUCAGGUCCAGGAUGCGUGCUCGCACCCCAACACAUUCGUGGGA